rnacentral:lncRNA from 1 species
AUUAUAUUGUAAACUCCUCAAAGGUAGUGUGAAAGAGAAUUCAGGACUAUCUUAAUGGCUUUCUUUGUAUUCCAGUAAUGAGCAUGAUGCUUUGGCACACAGUAGUCAUCUAAUCAAUGCUGAUUGACUGACUGGCUGACAGUUGCUCUUCAGAAGUGCAACCCAGAAGAGGCCAGUUUUCAAAGGCCAAAUGGAAAUAGAAAAUGUCCACUGUGUCCCUGAGAAAUGCCCAAAACAUCAUGUCAUCAAAAGAGUUUGGAUUUGGACUUUCGAACUCAGCUGAAACUUCUCUUUCAAAGAUGACUUUGGAUGAUGGAACAAAGAUGAUGAUGGAACCAAGUUCUCCCCUGGCUUGCCAGAAGAUGAGGACUUGAGGGCGACAGCACAGAGGCAAGAUGAAAUUGAAAAUGUCUAAUCAAUAGCUCUGAAAACCCCUUUACUUUCUGAAAUUAAAGCUCCAGUUUUUCAGUAGUCCAAAACAGUAAUUAUGCUUGGCCAUGAAAGCUGUACCAAUUUUUUGUCAAUGCACACUGGGUACAUUUUGGGUUUCUUAGC